UUCUAUGUUGAUCUUUAUUAAU
rnacentral:siRNA from 1 species